rnacentral:rRNA from 1 species
GUCUCCCUCCUUCAAUAUGCGGAUGAUACCAUAAUAAUGGUUGAGGGGUCUGUUCUGGACGUAGCUAACCUGAAGUUUCUCCUCCUGUGCUUCCAACAGAUGUUGGGACUAACCAUAAACUUCGAUAAGAGCGAAGUGAUGGUUCUUGCUUACCCCCCGGAGGAAGCUCAGGCUAUAGCGAACCGACUUAAUUGUCGGUUGGGUUCUUUCCCCACGACCUACCUAGGGAUCCUCAUUAGUGAUUCACGCCUCACCGUGACAGAUCUUCGCCCCACGGUGACCCGUAUGCAACACCGCGUUGAGCCCUGGAAAGGGCGCUGGUUGUCGAAGGCUGCACGCGUGAUCCUCAUCAACUCCUCGCUUGCCAGCCUUCUUUGGUUCCUCAUGAGCUUCUAUAGCCUUCAUGAGUCGCUCCAUAAGGAAAUUGCCAAGUACUAG